rnacentral:rRNA from 1 species
UACAGAGGUCUCAAGCGUUGUUCGGAUUCAUUGGGCGUAAAGGGUGCGUAGGCGGCUAAGUAAGUCGGGCGUGAAAUCCCACGGCUCAACCGUGGAAGUGCACUCGAAACUGCAUAGCUAGAGUCCUGGAGAGGAAGGUGGAAUGCUUGGUGUAGAGGUGAAAUUCGUAGAUAUCAAGCGGAACACCGGUGGCGAAGGCGGCCUUCUGGACAGUGACUGACGCUGAGACGCGAAAGCGUGGGGAGCAAACAGG